UACAGAGGUGGCAAGCGUUGUUCGGAAUUACUGGGCGUAAAGGGCGCGUAGGCGGCCUUGUAAGUCUCGUGUGAAAUCCCUCGGCUCAACUGAGGAACUGCACGGGAUACUGCUGGGCUUGAGUUCGGGAGAGGGAAGUGGAAUUCCGGGUGUAGCGGUGAAAUGCGUAGAUAUCCGGAGGAACAUCGGUGGCGAAGGCGACUUCCUGGACCGACACUGACGCUGAGGCGCGAAAGCUAGGGGAGCAAACGGG
rnacentral:rRNA from 1 species